rnacentral:tRNA from 1 species
GCGCCUGUAGCUCAGUGGAUAGAGCAGCGGAUUUCUAAUCCGCUGGCCGCAGGUUCGAGUCCUGCCAGGCGCG